CCGCGACCCCAUGUCAGGCGGGACUACCCGCUGAG
rnacentral:rRNA from 1 species